rnacentral:rRNA from 1 species
AUACGUAGGUGGCGAGCGUUGUCCGGAUUUACUGGGCGUAAAGGGUGCGUAAGCGGAUGUUUAAGUGAGAUGUGAAAUACCCGGGCUUAACUUGGGUGCUGCAUUUCAAACUGGAUAUCUAGAGUGCAGGAGAGGAGAAUGGAAUUCCUAGUGUAGCGGUGAAAUGCGUAGAGAUUAGGAAGAACACCAGUGGCGAAGGCGAUUCUCUGGACUGUAACUGACGCUGAGGCACGAAAGCGUGGGUAGCAAACAGGAUUAGAUACCCUGGUAGUCCACGCCGUAAACGAUGAGUACUAGGUGUAGGAGGUAUCGACCCCUUCUGUGCCGCAGUAAACACAUUAAGUACUCCGCCUGGGAAGUACGAUCGCAAGAUUAAA